AGAGUUUGAUCCUGGCUCAGGAUGAACGCUAGCGGCAGGCUUAAUACAUGCAAGUCGAGGGGCAGCGGGGUAGCAAUACCGCCGGCGACCGGCAAACGGGUGCGGAACACGUACAGAACCUUCCUUUAAGCGGGGAAUAGCCCGGAGAAAUCCGGAUUAAUACCCCAUAAUAAUAUUGAUUGGCAUCAAUUGAUAUUUAAAGAUUUAUCACUUAGAGAUGGCUGUGCGGCUGAUUAGGUAGUUGGUGUGGGUAAUGGCCCACCAAGCCUUCGAUCAGUAACUGGUGUGAGAGCACGACCAGUCACACGGGCACUGAGACACGGGCCCGACUCCUACGGGAGGCAGCAGUAAGGAAUAUUGGUCAAUGGACGCAAGUCUGAACCAGCCAUGCCGCGUGAAGGAUGAAGGCCCUCUGGGUUGUAAACUUCUUUUACAGGGGACGAAAUGCAUCUUUUCUAAGGUGUUUGACGGUACCCUGGGAAUAAGCACCGGCUAACUCCGUGCCAGCAGCCGCGGUAAUACGGAGGGUGCAAGCGUUAUCCGGAUUCACUGGGUUUAAAGGGUGCGUAGGUGGGUCUGUAAGUCAGUGGUGAAAUCUCCAGGCUUAACCUGGAAACUGCCAUUGAUACUAUAGGUCUUGAAUUAUCUGGAGGUCAGCGGAAUAUGUCAUGUAGCGGUGAAAUGCUUAGAUAUGACAUAGAACACCAAUUGCGAAGGCAGCUGGCUACAGGUUGAUUGACACUGAGGCACGAAAGCGUGGGGAUCAAACAGGAUUAGAUACCCCCGUAGUCC
rnacentral:rRNA from 1 species